CCUGGCUCAGAUUGAACGCUGGCGGCAUGCUUUACACAUGCAAGUCGAACGGUAACAGGUCUUUCGGGAUGCUGACGAGUGGCGAACGGGUGAGUAAUGUAUCGGAACGUGCCCAGUAGUGGGGGAUAACUACUCGAAAGAGUGGCUAAUACCGCAUGAGAUCUCUGGAUGAAAGCGGGGGACCGUAAGGCCUCGCGCUACUGGAGCGGCCGAUAUCAGAUUAGGUUGUUGGUGAGGUAAAGGCUCACCAAGCCGACGAUCUGUAGCUGGUCUGAGAGGACGACCAGCCACACUGGGACUGAGACACGGCCCAGACUCCUACGGGAGGCAGCAGUGGGGAAUUUUGGACAAUGGGCGCAAGCCUGAUCCAGCAAUGCCGCGUGCAGGACGAAGGCCUUCGGGUUGUAAACUGCUUUUGUACGGAACGAAAAGCCUUCUUCUAAUACAGGAGGGUCAUGACGGUACCGUAAGAAUAAGCACCGGCUAACUACGUG
rnacentral:rRNA from 1 species